rnacentral:lncRNA from 1 species
AGAGACCGCCUCAGGUGGCGCCGUAGCCAAUUCUUCCGACCAAACCGGUCGCGAAGAUAGGGCGGGAGCGCCGAAGGCCGCGUCGGAUCGAGGGAGGGGGAGUUAGGGUUUCGGGAGAUGGCGGGCGUGCGAGGAGGGAAGAGAAUAGAAGAGAGGCGAGAGAGACGGGGUGGAAAUUGGAUAAAACCAAAUGAUCUCUUGUUUUAGUAUUGUCCCCUGGCUUCUUUUGCUUCCAUUCUUUCCUUUCUUGCGCUGCUCUCUUCCGCUCCGGUUUACUUCGCGGACGGGGUUUUCGUUCGGUUGGAU